rnacentral:rRNA from 1 species
UUUGACCUCGGAUCAGGUAGGGGUACCCGCUGAACUUAAGCAUAUCAAUAAGCGGAGGA